GCAUCCAUUAUUUCCUCGUAAAAGGAAAGACACUUUUCGCGAAAGGAAAUACGACCUAAUAAUUAUGAAUUUCAUUCGUUACUUGUUACGCAAACGUAUUUAUCGAUAACAUUAUAAUAUUUAUUCAGUAAUGGUAACUGACAAUUUUGACGCUAUUUUUCUUAUUAAUUACACACUUUAUACGCUAUACUAAUCGCUAAAUUUCCGACAUUGUUCGAACCACCUCGCACAUACGUGUCGGAAGGAUUCGUCGACGAAAUAUAACGUAAUGGUAAUGUAAAAUGGUAACUUGUAAAAUUUUGGUUGAAUCACGCGAGACAGUCUUGAUGGGACUAUCAACAAUUUCCAGUACGAGCAAGGAAACCUCGUUGACAUUGUUUGGAUUUUAAUCUACAAAUUCGUAAGAGACACGUGCGUGUGCGUAUGUGUUGUAGUAUUGAACGUUCGUUUCAUUCCGAUUCAUAAUAAUUAAGCACAUGGCGCCCAAGUUUAUGGCACACGGAUCCACUUAGUGUUUACAAAUUUUCACGGUAUAGCUACGUAGAUAGAUAGCUAGAGUACAAAAGUGUCGACAAAAUGCUCGUCGUAUGUAUCGGAACGUCUAUUUAUCGAGCUGAUAUCUAUUUUGGGAAAAAUUGCAUCUUCGAAUAACGCGGUGAAAAGCGAUGAUAUAAUUAACAACGGACCGGUAGUAGCAAAGAACAUUUCGAAACGUCUUGACUAGACCGCGAACGUUUAUACGUACGUUUAAGGAAAAUUUGCAGAUCCAACAGCGCGCGGAAUGUACAUAGUCGUGGUGCAAAAAUAUACAAAUAAUACUCAUAUCGUUUUUUUUAGCUGUGUUCGUGCAAAUUUUAGUCUACGUAAAUAGUGUGCAGUCUGAAAUUGACUGUCGGAUGUUUCGAGUUACGGUUUUCACUAUGGGAAAAGCUGGCGAAAUAUAUCGCGGAGAAAAUUGCCAAACAGUUUUGGUUGACGUAGAAACACGUAAUCGCGUAAAUUAUUUACAGAGCAAAACGAAAAAAAAAGAUGAGAUACGAAGAAGAAUGCUGAAAAGUCGAGGAGCUGCAAGGCUUCAGUCGGCUUCGAUAAAUAAACUCUUUCUCUUUCAACCUGGAAUCAGCCGAAAUCGAGUUCCCGAAAUUCAUCCUUACGUACAUAUGUAAAAAUGAUAAACCCGGGGACCAAAACUCUACGAUUCUGCAUUUCUUGCCCCUCUAUUCUUAGACUACUAAACUCCCACACGGUUAUUUAAUAUCCCAGACACGUACUAUUUACCGAUGCUUUACACAAUUUGACAAUUCUAUCGUAUAACAGGUUCGCAAGACAAUGCAUACUUGAAAUUGUUUUCGAAUAUAAUUUAGGCUGAUAUAUUUAUCGACUCGCGGUUACUUCCGCCAUAUUAAAACUUAUCUUUCCUCGACUGAAAAUUUAAUUUCUUCUAAAUACCUCUUAAUUUUUACCUUUUAAUUUAAUUUAAAUAUCGUACUAGUUAAUUGUUACAUUUCGAUUUUCUAUUAUUUAGCGUCGGAAUUAAGGUGUAUCGGUAGGC